rnacentral:rRNA from 1 species
AGUGAACGCUGGCGGUAGGCCUAACACAUGCAAGUCGAACGGCAGCACAGUAAGAGCUUGCUCUUACGGGUGGCGAGUGGCGGACGGGUGAGGAAUACAUCGGAAUCUACUUUUUCGUGGGGGAUAACGUAGGGAAACUUACGCUAAUACCGCAUACGACCUACGGGUGAAAGCAGGGGAUCUUCGGACCUUGCGCGAUUGAAUGAGCCGAUGUCGGAUUAGCUAGUUGGCGGGGUAAAGGCCCACCAAGGCGACGAUCCGUAGCUGGUCUGAGAGGAUGAUCAGCCACACUGGAACAGUGACACGGUCCAGACUCCUACGGGAGGCAGCAGUGGGGAAUAUUGGACAAUGGGCGCAAGCCUGAUCCAGCCAUACCGCGUGGGUGAAGAAGGCCUUCGGGUUGUAAAGCCCUUUUGUUGGGAAAGAAAAGCAGCAGGUUAAUACCCCGCUGUUCUGACGGUACCCAAAGAAUAAGCACCGGCUAACUUCGUG